CUUCUUGUUCUUCUUAUUCUUCUUGUUCUUCCACUUCUUCUUCUUGUUCUUCUUGUUCUUGUUCUUGUUCUUGUUCUUCUUCUUCUUCUUCCACUUCUUCUUCUAAUUGCUUAGCUUAAUUUAGAUAACAUCUUUCUUAUUGUAUUCUUCUUCUAACUUCUUUCUCGUUAUGCAGAUUUUGAUAAAGCAGCAUGGCAUAUGGAUGGAUGCUCGAGGGACUUUG
rnacentral:lncRNA from 1 species